rnacentral:rRNA from 1 species
ACUGCAAGUCGAGCGGACAGAAGGGAGCUUGCUCCCGGAUGUUAGCGGCGGACGGGUGAGUAACACGUGGGUAACCUGCCUGUAAGACUGGGAUAACUCCGGGAAACCGGAGCUAAUACCGGAUAGUUCCUUGAACCGCAUGGUUCAAGGAUGAAAGACGGUUUCGGCUGUCACUUACAGAUGGACCCGCGGCGCAUUAGCUAGUUGGUGAGGUAACGGCUCACCAAGGCGACGAUGCGUAGCCGACCUGAGAGGGUGAUCGGCCACACUGGGACUGAGACACGGCCCAGACUCCUACGGGAGGCAGCAGUAGGGAAUCUUCCGCAAUGGACGAAAGUCUGACGGAGCAACGCCGCGUGAGUGAUGAAGGUUUUCGGAUCGUAAAGCUCUGUUGUUAGGGAAGAACAAGUGCAAGAGUAACUGCUUGCACCUUGACGGUACCUAACCAGAAAGCCACGGCUAACUACGUGCCAGCAGCCGCGGUAAUACGUAGGUGGCAAGCGUUGUCCGGAAUUAUUGGGCGUAAAGGGCUCGCAGGCGGUUUCUUAAGUCUGAUGUGAAAGCCCCCGGCUCAACCGGGGAGGGUCAUUGGAAACUGGGAAACUUGAGUGCAGAAGAGGAGAGUGGAAUUCCACGUGUAGCGGUGAAAUGCGUAGAGAUGUGGAGGAACACCAGUGGCGAAGGCGACUCUCUGGUCUGUAACUGACGCUGAGGAGCGAAAGCGUGGGGGAGCGAACAGGAUUAGAUACCCUGGUAGUCCACGCCGUAAACGAUGAGUGCUAAGUGUUAGGGGGUUUCCGCCCCUUAUUGCUGCA